GCACUGGCAAAAUCCAGUGCCAGGAUUGAACCCCUGCAAAAAAACACUCAACACAUAGUUGGCAAUUGAAAGGUUGCCUAUCG
rnacentral:sRNA from 1 species